ACUCAAAUGAAUUGACGGGGGCCCGCACAAGCGGUGGAGCAUGUGGUUUAAUUCGAUGCAACGCGCAGAACCUUACCUGGACUUGACAUGGGGGUGACCGGACGAGAGAUCGUCCUUUCUCUUCGGAGACACCCCGCACAGGUGCUGCAUGGCUGUCGUCAGCUCGUGUCGUGAGAUGUUCGGUUAAGUCCGGCAACGAGCGCAACCCUCGUCCUUAGUUGCCAUCAUUAAGUUGGGCACUCUAGGGAGACUGCCCGGGUCAACCGGGAGGAAGGUGGGGACGACGUCAAGUCCUCAUGGCCCUUACGUCCAGGGCUACACACGUGCUACAAUGGUCGGUACAGUGGGUCGCAAUACCGCGAGGUGGAGCUAAUCCCCAAAGCCGGCCUCAGUUCGGAUUGGAGUCUGCAACUCGACUCCAUGAAGCUGGAAUCGCUAGUAAUCGUGGAUCAGAAUGCCACGGUGAAUACGUUCCCGGGCCUUGUACACACCGCCCGU
rnacentral:rRNA from 1 species